rnacentral:lncRNA from 1 species
UUUUUUUUUUUUUUUUUUUUUUUUUGAACUAAAUUCAAAGUCUCUUUAUCUGGAGGCUAAUGGGUUUUCCCCAAAAUACUCAUUUCUGAUCUGAUAUGCUCACCAAAUUUUAUUUCUUUUUUCUUUUCUUUUUUUAAUUAGUCAAUGAAUUUUAUUACAUUUAUAGGUGUACAGCAAUCAUCAUAACCAAAUUUUAUAGCAUUUCCAUCCCAAACCCUCAGUGCAUUCCCCCCACCCCUCAACCUGUCUCAUUUGGAAAUCAUAAGUUUUUCAAAGUCUGUGAGUCAGUAUCUGUUCCGCAAAUAAGUUCAUUUUGUCUUUUUUUAGAGUCCACAUGUAAGUGAUAGCAUUUGAUGUUGCUGGCUCACUGUCUGACUAACUUCACUUAGCAUGAUAAUUUCUAGGUCCAUCCAUGUUGCUAAAAAUGCCAUUAUUUCUUUCCUCUUAAUGGCUAAUAUUCCAUUGUGUAUCUGUACCACAUCUUCUUGAUCCACUCCUCUGUUGAUGGACAUUUAGGUUGUUUCCAUGUCUUGGCUGUUGUAUAGAGUGCUACAAUGAACAUUGGAGUACAUGUAUCUUUUUGAGUCAUGGUUUUCUCUGGAUAGAUGCCCAGGAGCGGCAUCGGGAGGUUCCCAGGCUAGGGGUCUAAUCGGAGCUGUAGCCACUGGCCUACGCCAGAGCCACAGCAACUUGGGAUCUGAGCUGCGUCUGCGACCUACACCACAGCUCACGGCAACGAUGGAUCCUUAACCCACUGAGCAAGGCCAGGGAUCGAACCUACAACCUCAUGGUUCCUAGUCGGGAUUCGUUAACCACUGAGCCAUGACAGGAACUCCUCUGCAUUGCUUUUAAGUGCAGGAUGGUGUGGGAGGGGCAUGUGCAGAAGCAAAGGGCAUGGACUUGGUAACUCAUGCGGAGAUUUGCGUCCUAGCGCGGCCAAUGUGACCUUGGCAAGUCCUUGAACUUCUCUGGGCCUCUGUUUAUUCCACUCUAUGUAGGAGACUUAACAGCCAUUCCCAGGGUGGCUGUGAGGAUGAACUGGGACAGCUGAAGCUAAAGGGCUAUGAAGAAGGCUAUGGUGCUUUAAAGUCGUUCUUACUUCCUGCCUUCAAGGCUUCUUCCAUGGGCAUAUAUUCAGUGGUGUAUUUGCACUUGAACUUGGCCACCUGCGGGGUAACUUUGAAAUCAGUUCUAUGGCUCAUUUGGGAGUAAGGGUCUCACACCUCAUUGGCCUUUCUGCCUCUUUUUAAGCUCUCCCAGAGAACCGGUGUCAGGGCCCGCUUCUUGAUUUAUGGGCAUCUGUGAGAGGUCUUUCCCCUCUUCCAUUGCUCUUUUUUUCUUUUAUUGUUGAGAUAAAAUUUAUGUAUAGUGAAGUCCACAGGUCUUUAAAUGUACUGGGUAGCUGAUGUAAUUUUCCGUCUGUAUGCGCCUGUGUAAGUACCAUCCAGAUGAAGAUAUGUAGCAUUUCCAUCGCUCCAGAAGGCCUCCUCGUCCCCUCCCCAUCAGUACGCCAUCCUACCUUGCUCCCCACCUCCUGCUCCAUCAUCCCAGCUUGUCCUCACAUCACUUAGUGACUAUUCUUGAAUGUCUUCUUCUUUUUUUUUUGUCUUUGGUCUUUUUUUGGAGGGCUGAACCCAUGGCAUAUGGAGGUUCCCAGGCUAGGGCACUUUGCCGCCGGCCUACACCACAGCCACAGCAACGCCAGAUCCAAGCCGCGUCUGCGACCUACCCUACAGCUUACGACAGCACUGGAUCCUGAACCCACGGAGUGAAGCCAGGUAUUGAACCCACAUCCUCAUGGUUCCUAGUUGGAUUCGUUUCCACGGAGCCACGAUGGGAGCUCCUGUUCUUGAACUUCUUAUGAAGACUCUGUACACCCUGUGUCUCACCCAGGCCCCUCAACACCUUGGCUUCUAGUUUCCUUUUCCUGUCAGUUAUAGGCAGGCUGUUAGCCUCUCUUCCUGAUGGACAGAGCUCCCCACUUCUGACAUAUCACCCGUGACCUGAGAUGGGCAGAGCCUUUAGACAUGCCUCUCAUGGCAGGGGGUGUCCAGGACACGGGGAUACCUCCAGAGGCUCCCAGAUUGGGCCUUUCUUCCCUCCUCCUUCUCCCAGGGGCAGCUUUGAGGCUUUUGCUGCUUUUGCCAUUGCUCUCAGAGGAGCUGGACCUGGGCUUGGAGGCUGGAUGCCCUGGGCAAAGGUUUCUGAGCAGCAGCCUGUAGUGAGGAGAAGCUGGUGGGGGGGCACUCUAUGACAGAGAGCCUAGAGGACUGGGGCCGGGUCCUGGCAGGAGGCAGGAGAGGCUGUGGGUUUUAGGGCGGGAUUGUAUAAAACUGGAGACCCGAGAGAGGUCUGCACCACAGGAGAUGCUCUCGGAACAUCCAGGGAUGCUGAAAGUGGCCAUUUCUAGGCAUGAGCGAGUUAGGAAUCAGCAGUCCUCCUUUGUGGGUGAGGGGGGAUGGGACUCCCAGGCAGGCCCCACCCUUGCUGGCUGACAAGGCAGACCUUAGGUGUGGUGGGGCAGGAAGUCCCCUUUCGUCUGCUGGCCCCACCACGCCUUCGCUUAUUUACCCAUGUAUCAGCGUUUACUGGGAACCCCCUGGGCAUGCUGGGCAGCCAGCUGGCACUAAGGGCAUAAGGAUAAACACAAGGUCUCCCAGCCCAAAGAGCUCACCCUCUAGACCAGGCUGCCGACGGGUGGCCCACUUGCCUCCAGAUGUGGCCCCCAGACCUGCUUGCUUUGGUGCCCACCCCCCAUAGUUUAUAAUUGGAAAUGGCCCAGAAAAAUCUGAUUUCUGGCUUCUCUUGACAAGUCAGAAGAUCUGGCAGCUGUGGUCUGCGUUCCUACAACCAGUGGGCUGAAGAGUGGCCGCUCCUCUCCGCACCCUUGCAGAGGGCACACUCGAGCCAGUUUGCUGCGGCCCUGCCCCUCCCUAUGGUCUCGUGCCUGGUCCUCCUCGCUCAGUACCUCCCCCUCCCCAUCUGACCCCUGUAGACAUUUAAGCUGAUUUCAGUGGGAGGAGUUAGUGCGGGCCUCUCAGAGGAGGGCAGUGGGUCUUGAUCUCCUGCUAGAGGGUGUCCCCCUCCAGGUCUUCUUGUUUCCUACUCCUCAGGGUGAAUGGAUGUAUCAGAUCCUUUCUCAAGAACGGAUUUACAGCAUGUGCUGGGGGAGGGGUGCCAGUGAGGGUGGGGGGUGAGUGGGAGAUCUGAUGCUGGGAUGAUGGCACCAAGACCCAUGAAAGUGGUUUUUUUAAUUUUUGUGCUAUUUGUCGCUCCCGCGGCAUAGGGAGGUUCCCAGGCUAGGAGUAAAAUCGGAGCUGUGGCCGCCGGCCUAUGCCACAGCCACAGCACUGCCAGAUCAGAGCCAUGUCUGCAACCCACACCACAGCUCAUGGCAACGCCGGAUUCUUAACCCAUUAAGCAAGGCCAGGGAUCAGACCUGUAUCCUCAUGUAUCCUAAUCGGGUUCAUUAAUUGCCAAGCCAAGAAGGGAACUCCAGAAGUGAUUCUUAAAGGGUGGACCACCUGGAUCAGAAUCACCUGGGCAUGCCGGUUCAAAGCGCAGAACUGAAGUGCAGCAGAAGCUGGAGCACAGUUCCCCAGGUAACAGUUGAGGUCAAAUUUGAGACCCACAAGGGAGAGGAGCCUGGAGCUUAGAGGGCAAUUGAGUCAGAUAAAUCGUGUUUUCUAGGGGCAAGACUGGGAACCCUACUUCAACAUCCAGCCCCCUGAUGGAACCUUGUUCUGAACACCACUCCCUGUUCUGGGCAGAGCUGAGGCCCCCAUCAGGCAAAGGGCAUGAGAAAUAACUUCUCCAGCUUUCCUGCCCCUGCCCCUGCACCUGGAGGAAAGGUCACCUGUGCUUUUGCCAAGUCUUGUUUUUUUCCCCCGAAUCUUUGAACUGUCACCUGGGCAGGGGGCCAACCCUAGGGAGAGGGCCAGUGGCUGGCUGGCAGGUAAGGGCCACCUUGUCUCCCCUUCACCUUCUCAGCCAGGUGGUCUGACAGUGGCUGGGCGCUGGCCAGGGGUCUGGAACCAUGGCCCUGUGCGGCGAAGGAGGAGGAUUUGUUCAAAGAGAGAUGCUUUCCUGAGUUAGGGGGCAGGGCGGGGGCUGGGGACUGCUUUUCCCUUUGGAGCUUUCAACGGUAGGGGUGGGGAAGUGCAUGCUGGGGUGUCCAGGGUGGGGCUGGGCUGUAGGGAGUGAGUAAGGAGGCAUCAUUCUCUGCAUCCUGCAAGUGGAGGGUGGUGCCCCCAAGAGGGAGCGCCUCUCUAAGAGAGCGGAGCCUAGGGAACAACCUGUAAGGCGGGGGCUCCUUCUCAGGGCUGAGAACUGGCCACCCCCAGCUCUUUUAGGAGCCUAAGAAUGAGAGCCUCCUUAAAGGAUGGCUCACUCGCUUUCCACUGGUCCCUGUCCAGCCCCUGAGAUGCGCCAGGGAUUGCAGACAAAGGAGGGGAGAACAGGACAACAAGAGCAUUCUUGUCUCUUGGUCAAGAUCACUCACUCUUGACCUUGGCUGAGCAUUGGAAGACCCUGUGAGCUUUACAAAAUCCUGAUGUCUGGUCCCCAUCUGCAGAGAUUCUUGUUUAAUUGAUCUGGGGUGCAGCCUGCUGUUGGGAUUUUUAAAAGCUCCCCAGGGGAUUCUAGUGUGCAGCGAAGUGUGAGAACCUCUGAUCUAGACAGUGCAGGGCGAGUGCUGUUUACUGGUUUUCCUUUCAUGGGUUUUUUGUUGUGAGCAACAGACCACCAGUCUCGCCAGACUUCUAAGGGUAAUAUAAGAACACUUAGAAAAAGUGGACGGGCUAUGAGACGAGUGGAAAGAAAGCCCAGUUCCUAGUCUGUGCCAAAUACAUUGUAUUUUUAUUUAACCAUCAACUCUGGGAGGUUGAUACGCUCAGGCUCAGUUUACAGAUGAGGAGCCUGAGCGUUGUCUGUGUCUUCUGGGUCCCACUGCUGUAGGAUGGCAGAGCCGUGAAAGCAAUGGACCUGUGACGGGCAGCCAGUGGGAACGAAGUCAGUGCUGAUGCUUUCAGACACAGCAUUUCUGGGGUCGGCUGAGGGGGUGGGGCUUGGGAAAGAACUGAGCUCCUCUCGGCCUCAGAAACAUGCCACAGAGGCUUUUGAAGAUGCGGAGGGGGCAUUUAAGGUGCGGCUUGGAAGAUGCUGAAAGGUGCUAUUUAAUGGGUCACUUUAUACAAAAUAAUCAUCACACUGGCUUCCAAAGCUGGUGACAGUGCUUGCAAGCCGCUUUUUGCAGUGGUGGCAAAGCCCGCUAUGUUCUGCUGCCAGCUCUAUCUUCUUUCUCAGGGUGGGUCUCAGGAGCAGUGGGGCAGGGAGGAGAAUGGCAGGCCUGGUGUCAGGAGAGCUGGUUGGAGUCCUGCCUGGUCACUUGGUGGUCACCUUGCUUUGGGCAAGGGGCUGAGCUCCUGACUCUUGGUGUCCUGAGUCCUGAGCUUCUGAGUCUUCAUAGACAUACUGGGGAUUUCCAUCCAAGGUGGAGUAACAGGGAUUGGAUUUUCCCUUCCCCCUGAAACAAAAAACAAACCAAUAGAGCAAAUGAAACAAUGGUUUUCAAGACACUGGACAUCAGGCCACAAGUUCAGUAACCCCAGAGAGCUCGAUGAUUCUGUUUACUGCUUUGUGAGAGUUUCUAGGUCUUGGCACAGGGCAGGGGGAUGAGGCCAGGAGGGGAGAGAUGGAAAUAUACUAUUGUAAGGUUCUUCUACUCCAGGUACAGUUAUAUGAGAUCUCUUGAAGUUAGACUGUGUGUCCUGUAAAUGGUAAAGCAACCACUCAAAUAUCCCAAAGGUUAGAGUUAGUAAGCAGUUAGGUUAGUUAGUUAGUAAGAUUAGUUAGUAAGCCAGUUCAGGAGAUAAAGCAGAGUUGUCAAUAAUGCCAAAUUCAAAAAACAAAGACAAAAACAAAACCAAAAAAAA